rnacentral:rRNA from 1 species
UCAGUCGACUCCGUACGGGAGGCAGCAGUGGGGAAUAUUGCACAAUGGGGGAAACCCUGAUGCAGCCAUGCCGCGUGUGUGAAGAAGGACCUUCGGGUGUAAAGCACUUUCAGUAGGGAGAAGGUAGUGUAGUUAACACCUGCAUUAUUUGACGUUACCUACAGAAGAAGACACCGGCUAACUCCGUGCCAGCAGCCGCGGUAAUACGGAGGGUGCGAGCGUUAAUCGGAAUUACUGGGCGUAAAGACGCAUGCAGGCGGCCGUGUUAAGUCAGAUGUGAAAGACCCGGGGCGUUAACCUACCGGUAAGUUAGCAUUUAGUAAACUAGGCGAGGCUAGAGUCUUGUAGAGGGGGGUAGGAAUUUCAGGUGUAGCGGUGAAAUGCGUAGAGAUCUGAAGGAAUACCAGUGGCGAAGGCGGCCCCCUGGACAAAGACUGACGCUCAGAUGCGAAAGCGUGGGGAGCAAACAGGAUUAGAUACCCUGGUAG